GUAGGGAAUAUUGCACAAUGGGGGAAACCCUGAUGCAGCAACGCCGCGUGAGUGAAGAAGGCCCUUGGGUUGUAAAGCUCUUUAGCGAGGGAAGAAGGUAGAUACGGUGAAUAAUCGUGUCUGCUGACGGUACCUCGAGAAUAAGCACCGGCUAAUUUCGUGCCAGCAGCCGCGGUAAUACGAAAGGUGCAAGCGUUACUCGGAAUCACUGGGCGUAAAGCGCACGUAGGCGGACUCGUAGGUCAGUUGUGAAAUACCUGGGCUCAACCCGGGAACUGCAGCUGAAACCGCUUGUCUUGAAUACCUGAGAGGGUGGGGGAAUACCUGGUGGAGAAGUGAAAUUCGUAGAGAUCAGGUGGAACACCGGAGGCGAAGGCGCCUGCCUGGCAGUGUAUUGACGCUGAGGUGCGAAAGUGCGGGGAGCAAACAGGAUUAGAUACCCUAGUAGUCC
rnacentral:rRNA from 1 species